CUAGCGACUUCAGAGUUUGAUCCUGGCUCAGGAUGAACGCUGGCGGCGUGCUUAACACAUGCAAGUCGAACGGAGAUUGUAAGCGGAAGUUUUCGGAUGGAAGCUUAUAAUCUUAGUGGCGGACGGGUGAGUAACGCGUGGGUAACCUGCCGUAUACAGGGGGAUAACACUUAGAAAUAGGUGCUAAUACCGCAUAAGCGCACGGUGUCGCAUGACACAGUGUGAAAAGCCGAGACGGUAUACGAUGGACCCGCGUCUGAUUAGCUAGUUGGUGGGGUAGAGGCCCACCAAGGCGACGAUCAGUAGCCGGCCUGAGAGGGUGACCGGCCACAUUGGGACUGAGACACGGCCCAA
rnacentral:rRNA from 1 species